rnacentral:lncRNA from 1 species
AGGCCAAAAAAUCAAACUUAAAAAAUAUAUAUGGUCACUCUUUUGUUCUUUGAGUGUUAAAUUCAUCAGUGUUUCCAUUUAAAACCAAUAACAAUUUGGGGAGGUAGUUCUUGGGAACUCUGAUUGUACCAAUAAGAGAAAAAAUGCUGAAACAAUGGUUGAAAAGAUCCCAUUUCAUGUCUCUGUUCUGUUACAGAGACCCACACUGUGGAAGAUACUUACAAGACUGGGUUAUAUUUCUGGAAGAGCAAAUUCAUCUCUUGUCUCUCCAGAAGACUGACUUAUUCCCCCACAUUUAUCCCAGACAAGAAAAUGACUCAGUAUUUCAUUCAAGCUAAAUUUGAGCAGAACUAAGUUCCUUUUCAGGAACCCUCCCCAGCUUCUCUGAUGAGCACUUGUCAUGUUUGGAGAAACUGCCCACCUGAAGCAAAUAAAAACUUACAACACUGGACAUCUUUGAUGCAGCCCCAGAUAAAUGUUGUGCUGGGAUUUCUUGGAGAGCAGGUAUCCUGGGAGUAUACAGCAGCCUUGUCUCCAAGGAAAGACAUGCAGGAAGCACUGAGAGGUUAGUUGUUAAGGGUCUGGGCUCAGAUUUAGGCUCCUCCAGCUCAGAGAUGACAGAGCCGUGUGACCUUGGACAUGUUACUCUCCCUCUCCAUGCCUUGGUUUUCUCCUCUGCACAGUAGAGGAAGGAACAGACGCUGGCUCACAGAGCCAUGGAGAUGUUUAAGUGAGGUACUGCUCGUGAACCGCCCCCGGGCUUGGCCUCAAGAAGCUGUAACUGCUGUGACCUUUUAGGUCAGACCGAUCAAUGCUUUGGGACAGUGAGACCGUCACUCUCCGGCUUAGUGGUAACAUGAAUUUAUACUACACGUUUUGGCUGUUGCAUGAGUUCUUUCUCUCUGCAAUAAUGUGGAGUGUCUAUCAGUUAGUAGGCAUUCCGGUGCAAGGAUGAAGGAUGGCUUAGAUGAUAAAACAUAAGCGUCAUAUCGGAAUUUUAAAAGCCAGUAAAUAGGUGCUUCUGGGGUUGGCUUGGCACCAAAAUCGUGCCAUCCUUACCCAGGUCCUUUCUGUCUUUCUGCUCUGCUGUUCUCAACUAUUCUCCCCUGGAUUAUCACCUCAUGGUCCCAAGGUGGCUACUGCACCACCAGCCACCUCAACUAUUUUCAAUGGCAGGAAGUGGAGCAGGGCUGGGAUAGCAAAAAAGGACCUAUUUGCAUGAGCCCCCACAUGGCUUCCUUUCCUUUAUACAGGAAGAAAGUUCUUCCCUGAAAGCCACUGCUGACUCCCCCUUGAGUUAUUGACCAGAACAGGGUCACUAGGCACCCUGGCUGCGAGGAAGCCUGAGAAUGCACGUAUCUGGCUCACCCCAUCUUUGCAGCUGGAGAAAGGUGUUGACCGGGGCUUUGGUGUUGGUAACCAACAGUUUCUGCCCCAGGGUGUUGGACCAUAAUGAAAAACUGGGGCUCUCUAGCCCCACGCAUGGAAUGAACUGAGAGUUGGGAGAAGUGAGGCACGACCAGGCGUCCUGAUUUCCCCACCAGGGUCUGGCCUUCCUGCCAACUUCAGACACAAGUCUGAGCAAGCACCUCCCCUCUCAGCCUCCCCUGCACAAUGAGAGGCUUAGAGCAACCUCCUAAAGAAACAACAAAAGGGCCAGGUCACUGCUAUUUUUAACAACAUAAGAAAACAGAAUUAAGGUUGUUGGGGAGUGAAUUAUUGAUUUAUCACAUUAAUUACUGAAAGAGUGAGUGUGGGAAGACUUUCAAGAAGGAGGGAUUCACUGGGAGCUGGGUGGG